rnacentral:rRNA from 1 species
UACCCCGCUGAACCUUAGCAUAUCAUUAAGCGGAGGAAAAGAAACUAACAAGGAUUCCCCUAGUAACUGCGAGUGAAGCGGGAAAAGCUCAAAUUUAAAAUCUGGCGGUCUCUGGCCGUCCGAGUUGUAAUCUAGAGAAGUAAUGCCCGCGCUGGACCGUGUACAAGUCUCCUGGAAUGGAGCGUCAUAGAGGGUGAGAAUCCCGUCUCUGACACGGACUACCAGGGCGUUGUGGUAUGCUCUCAAAGAGUCGAGUUGUUUGGGAAUGCAGCUCAAAAUGGGUGGUAAAUUCCAUCUAAAGCUAAAUAUUGGCGAGAGACCGAUAGCGAACAAGUACCGUGAGGGAAAGAUGAAAAGAACUUUGGAAAGAGAGUUAAACAGUACGUGAAAUUGCUGAAAGGGAAACGCUUGAAGUCAGUCGCGUUGGCCAGGGAUCAGCCUCGCUCCUGCGUGGUGUACUUUCUGGUCGACGGGUCAGCAUCAAUUUUGACCGCCGGAAAAGGGCCUGGGGAAUGUGGCAGCCUCGGCUGUGUUAUAGCCCCUGGUCACAUACGGCGGUUGGGAUUGAGGAACUCAGCACGCCGCAAGGCCGGGUUUCGACCACGUUCGUGCUUAGGAUGCUGGCAUAAUGGCUUUAAGCGACCCGUCUUGAAACACGGACCAAGGAGUCUAACAUGCCUGCGAUG